UCCCUACGUUCGGAUUGUAGGCUGAAACUACGCCUACAUGAAGCUGGAAUUGCUAGUAAUCACAGGUCAGCAUACUGUGGUGAAUACGUUCCCGGGCCUUGUACACACCGCCCGUCACACCAUGAGAGUUGAGAAUACCCGAAGCCCAUGUCAAAGUGGUCGAAGGUAGGCUUGAUGAUUGGGGUGAAGUCGUAACAAGGUAUC
rnacentral:rRNA from 1 species